rnacentral:rRNA from 1 species
AUGGCGACCACCACGCGCAAGGAGGAGGGGCCGGACAAGCGCGUGAAGCAGCAGCAGCAGGGGGGCACCAAGCUCUACUCUAGGAUGCUCUCCAAGGACGUGGCCAUCGCCGUGCCGUCCUUCCGGGUGUACUACGGCGUCGCCUCGGCCGGCUCAGUGCCCUUCCUGUGGGAGUCGCAGCCGGGCACGCCCAAGAGCUCGCCCUCCGUCCGCGGUCGUGGUGGCCUUUGGGCGGCGCCCGAAGUAGAGGAGCAGCGGGAUGGCGAGCGGCGUGCCGCAGGACUAAACCACCAUGGCCAUCCACAAGCUGCCGCCGCCCUGGUGUGGGGGAAGCGCUCGCGCCGCCGCUCUCCGGCAUCGUCAUCCGCGGCAGGGGGAAGGCGAGGUGCGUCCGGUCCAGCCCGGCCUCGCCGCUGGACUACAGCGCCGGCUCCGCCUCCCUCCACUCCGGCGCGUCCACCAGCGGCGGCGAGAACGGCGCCUUCUGCUUGCCGUGGCACGGCCGCACGGGCACCGCGCUGGCGACGACGACGAAGGUGCCUGCUGCCGCCCCCCGCUUUGCUUUGGGUGGAUCCGCUCUCCCAUGCUCCCAUGGCGGACGGGAUCGCACUGGAGUGGAGUAGAGGGAGAGAGGGGAGGGAGGAUUAG